AUGGAGCUGGUGGGAAAGGAUGAAAGUCAAAUUCUGGUCAGCACCACUGUUACUGCUCUCCUUGACAAAGUCAAUGUUUUUGUACGGCGGCUCAAUGACUUUGUAUCACUGUGGUGGACUUUUGGUGGAGGAACCAGACUGAAUGUUGGAAGUGAUGUCCGUCCCACCCUGACGGUGCUGCCCCCCUCCAGUGAGGAGCUGCUGAAGGGGAAGGCCACGCUCAUGUGCCUGGCCAACAAGGGCUUCCCCUCAGACUGGAGUCUGGCCUGGAAGGUGGACGGCAGCAGCAGCAGCAGCAGCAGCAGCUGGGAGGAGAGCAGGAGCCCCGGGGUGCUGGAGAAGGACGGCAAAUACAGCUGGAGCAGCACCCUGAGGCUCCCUGCAGACCAGUGGGAGAAGGUGGGCUCUGUGACCUGUGAGGCCACCCAGGGCUCCCAGACUCCACUCUCAGAGACACUGAGGAGAGACCAGUGUUCCCAGUCCUGACCUGACUCACUGGGACUCUGCUACUGGUUUCACUCUGAUACUGAUCUCAGUCUGCUCUCUGCUACUCUUUCUUUCUCUCUCUCUCUCUCUCUCUCUCUCUCUCUCUCUCUCUCUCUUUCUGGCAUCAGACCAAUUUAACAGUAUUCAACUUGAAAUAGCGAUGUUUUAUUUGCUGUAAUAAUUCUUAUGCUGUUAAUGCUGUAAGACAAUAAAACAUGAUUCAUAUGAAAAA